rnacentral:rRNA from 1 species
GACGAACGCUGGCGGCGUGCUUAACACAUGCAAGUCGAACGAUGAACCCGGAGCUUGCUCCGGCGGAUUAGUGGCGAACGGGUGAGUAACACGUGAGUAACCUGCCCUUGACUCUGGGAUAACUGCGGGAAACUGUAGCUAAUACCGGAUACGACCCUCGGCGGCAUCGCCAGGGGGUGGAAAGAAUUUCGGUCAAGGAUGGACUCGCGGCCUAUCAGCUAGUUGGUGAGGUAACGGCUCACCAAGGCGACGACGGGUAGCCGGCCUGAGAGGGUGACCGGCCACACUGGGACUGAGACACGGCCCAGACUCCUACGGUAGGCAGCAGUGGGGAAUAUUGCACAAUGGGCGCAAGCCUGAUGCAGCAACGCCGCGUGAGGGAUGACGGCCUUCGGGUUGUGAACCUCUUUUAGUGGGGAAGAAGCGAAAGUGACGGUACCUGCAGAAAAAGCACCGGCUAACUACGUGCCAGCCGCCGCCGUAAUAC